GACGAACGCUGGCGGCGUGCUUAACACAUGCAAGUCGAACGGAAAGGCCCUGCUUUUGUGGGGUGCUCGAGUGGCGAACGGGUGAGUAACACGUGAGUAACCUGCCCUUGACUUUGGGAUAACUUCAGGAAACUGGGGCUAAUACCGGAUAGGAGCUCCUGCUGCAUGGUGGGGGUUGGAAAGUUUCGGCGGUUGGGGAUGGACUCGCGGCUUAUCAGCCUGUUGGUGGGGUAGUGGCUUACCAAGGCUUUGACGGGUAGCCGGCCUGAGAGGGUGACCGGCCACAUUGGGACUGAGAUACGGCCCAGACUCCUACGGGAGGCAGCAGUGGGGAAUAUUGCACAAUGGGCGGAAGCCUGAUGCAGCGACGCCGCGUGCGGGAUGACGGCCUUCGGGUUGUAAACCGCUUUCGCCUGUGACGAAGCGUGAGUGACGGUAAUGGGUAAAGAAGCACCGGCUAACUACGUG
rnacentral:rRNA from 1 species